UGAAAAAGUCUUAAAAUGUUAGAGCCGCUUACAUUACAUUUGUUUGCGUCUCACCCACAAAUUGAUUGAAAUUGGAUGAAAAUGGCAUCCGUCUUGGCUGCAGCACAAGCACGACUUUCAUCCCAGCUGCUUCGUCCAAUACCUCAGAAUCAGAUUCCCAUCACUCACUCCCUCAAACGCAACGCCGUUAAAGCAGCGCCUGUCGAUUUCGGCUUGGAGAGGAAUGUUUUGAGAUUGAAAAUAAGGGAAAGCUGGCACGCUGUGUCUGCAUCAAACUCUAACCCUUCAAAUGGAUAUUCCGUUGAAGAUAAAUCAGGUGGGGUUAAAACCAUUGAUGCUGCACAAGGCCCUCCCUUGCUUACCAUUGUGGCUGGAUUUGUCGUCUUUUUUCUCUUAUUUUGGAUUUUGGGGUCAAUUCUAAUGUGGUUGAUUGGUCUAGUUGUUAGAUUUCCUCCACCUAAAUAAGAAAAUAUUUUCAUCAAUUUUGCUGUUUAUGUUAAAAAGCAUUUACUCAUCUCUAUAUUUAUGAACAAUGAACAUGAGUAUUGGAUCACAAAUUUUUGUUUCCUUUCCUUUUUUUCCCCUCCUUUUGUAGAGACGAGUGAAUGGAGAUGUAAUGUAAAACCUGAUAUAUUCAUUAUAAAUUAUUUUUCAUUACAGUUCGA